UCAAGCUACAAAGGGCGCAUGGUGAAUGCCUUGGCAUCAGGAGCCGAUGAAGGACGUGAUAAGCUGCGAUAAGCUUCGGGUAGGCGCACAUAGCCUGAGAUCCGAAGAUCUCCGAAUGAGGAAACUCACAUGGGAAACCCCAUGUAUCAUUAAGUGAAUACAUAGCUUAAUGAAGGUAACCCAGGGAACUGAAACAUCUAAGUACCUGGAGGAAGAGAAAGAAAAAUCGAUUUUCUUAGUAGCGGCGAGCGAAAGGGAAAGAGCCCAAACCGGAAACUUGUUUCCGGGGUUGUGGACAUAACAUAAAAGUGGAGGCUAUUGUAACUGAAGAGAACUGGAAAGUUCCACCGUAGAAGGUAAUAGUCCUGUAAGUGAAACGAGAAGACCACGAGUUAUGAUCCAGAGUACCACGAGACACGUGAAACCUUGUGGGAAGCAGGGAGGACCACCUCCCAAGGCUAAAUACUACCUGAUGACCGAUAGUGAAGCAGUACCGUGAGGGAAAGGUGAAAAGAACCCCGGGAGGGGAGUGAAAUAGAACCUGAAACCGUGUGCCUACAACCGCUCAGAGCCCCUUAUGAGGGUGAUGAGGUGCUUUUUGUAGAACGAGCCAACGAGUUACGGUAUGUAGCAAGGUUAAGUACUUAAGGUACGGAGCCGAAGGGAAACCGAGUCUGAAUAGGGCGACUAGUUGCAUGCCGUAGACCCGAAACCGGGUGACCUAUCCAUGGCCAGGUUGAAGCGAGGGUAAAACCUCGUGGAGGACCGAACCACGUUGCUGUUGAAAAAGCAUGGGAUGAGCUGUGGAUAGCGGAGAAAUUCCAAUCGAACCCGGAGAUAGCUGGUUCUCUCCGAAAUAGCUUUAGGGCUAGCGUCGAGUAUGAGUAGUGGAGGUAGAGCACUGAAUGGGCUAGGGGGCAUAGCGCUUACCGAACCUUAUCAAACUCCGAAUGCCACAUACUUUGAGCUCGGCAGUCAGACUACGAAUGAUAAGAUCCGUGGUCAAAAGGGAAACAGCCCAGAUCGUCAGCUAAGGUCCCAAAGUGUAAGUUAAGUGGGAAAGGAUGUGAGAUUUCUAAGACAACUAGGAUGUUGGCUUAGAAGCAGCCAUUCAUUAAAAGAGUGCGUAAUAGCUCACUAGUCGAGAGAUCUUGCGCCGAAAAUGUAACGGGGCUAAACUUACCACCGAAGCUACGGGCUUGAACUUAGUUCAAGCGGUAGGAGAGCGUCGUAACCGGGCUGAAGUCGUACCGUAAGGAGCGGUGGACUGGUUACGAGUGAGAAUGUUGGCAUCAGUAGCGAGAUGUGGGUGAGAAUCCCACAGGCCGAAAACCUAAGGUUUCCUCAGGAAGGUUCGUCCGCUGAGGGUUAGUCGGGACCUAAGCCGAGGCCGAAAGGCGUAGGUGAUGGACAACUGGUUGAUAUUCCAGUACCACUACCAUCGUUAUUAUCGAUGGCGUGACGCAGGAGGAUAGUGUGUGCUAGCUAUUGGAUGCUAGUCUAAGCGUUUAGGCAGUGAGAGUAGGCAAAUCCGCUCUCAUAAUGCUGAGGCGUGAUGGGGAAGGUUCUACGGAACCGAAGUACAUGAUUCCACGCUGCCAAGAAAAGCGUCUAGAGAGAGAAGUAGUGCCCGUACCGCAAACCGACACAGGUAGGUGAGGAGAGAAUCCUAAGGCCGGCGGAAGAAUUACAGUUAAGGAACUCGGCAAAUUGACCCCGUAAGUUCGCGAGAAGGGGUGCCUACGAGAGUAGGCCGCAGAGAAUAGGCCCAAGCAACUGUUUAGCAAAAACACAGGUCUCUGCUAAAGCGUAAGCUGAUGUAUAGGGGCUGACGCCUGCCCGGUGCUGGAAGGUUAAGGGGAACACUUAGCGCAAGCGAAGGUGUGAACUUAAGCCCCAGUAAACGGCGGCCGUAACUAUAACGGUCCUAAGGUAGCGAAAUUCCUUGUCAGGUAAGUUCUGACCCGCACGAAUGGCGUAAUGACUUGGGCACUGUCUCAACUGUAAAUCCGGCGAAGUUGUAGUGCGAGUGAAGAUGCUCGCUACCCGCGAUUGGACGGAAAGACCCCGUAGAGCUUUACUGUAGCUUAGCAUUGAGUUUUGGUAUUGUCUGUACAGGAUAGGUGGGAGACUAGGAAACCAGGGCGUCAGCCUUGGUGGAGUCAACCUUGGGAUACCACCCUGACAGUACUGAAAUUCUAACUGGCGGCCAUGAAUCUGGUCACAGGACAUUGUUAGGUGGGCAGUUUGACUGGGGCGGUCGCCUCCUAAAAAGUAACGGAGGCGCCCAAAGGUUCCCUCAGAACGGUCGGAAAUCGUUCGAAGAGUGCAAAGGCAGAAGGGAGCCUGACUGCGACACCCACAAGUGGAGCAGGGACGAAAGUCGGGCUUAGUGAUCCGGUGGUACCUCGUGGGAGGGCCAUCGCUCAACGGAUAAAAGCUACCUCGGGGAUAACAGGCUGAUCUCCCCCAAGAGUCCACAUCGACGGGGAGGUUUGGCACCUCGAUGUCGGCUCGUCGCAUCCUGGGGCUGAAGUAGGUCCCAAGGGUUGGGCUGUUCGCCCAUUAAAGCGGCACGCGAGCUGGGUUCAGAACGUCGUGAGACAGUUCGGUCCCUAUCCGUCGCGGGCGUAGGAAAUUUGAGAGGA
rnacentral:rRNA from 1 species